rnacentral:rRNA from 1 species
UACGAAGGGGACUAGCGUUGUUCGGAAUCACUGGGCGUAAAGCGCACGUAGGCGGAUAUGUCAGUCAGGGGUGAAAUCCCGGGGCUCAACCUCGGAACUGCCUUUGAUACAGCAUGUCUUGAGUCCGAUAGAGGUGGGUGGAAUUCCUAGUGUAGAGGUGAAAUUCGUAGAUAUUAGGAAGAACACCGGUGGCGAAGGCGGCUCACUGGCCCGAUACUGACGCUGAGGCACGAAAGCGUGGGGAGCAAACAGG